rnacentral:rRNA from 1 species
GGACGCAAGUCUGAACCAGCCAUGCCGCGUGAAGGAUUAAGGNCCUCUGGNUUGUAAACUUCUUUUAUAGGGGACGAAAAAAGGUNUUUCUAGCNCCNUUGACGGUACCAUAUGAAUAAGCACCGGCNAACUCCGUGCCAGCAGCCGCGGUAAUACGGAGGGUGCAAGCGUUAUCCGGAUUCACUGGGUUUAAAGGGUGCGUAGGCGGGNAGUUAAGUCAGUGGUGAAAUCNUGGAGCUCAACUCNNAAACUGCCAUUGAUACUAUCNNUCUUGAAUAUUGNGGAGGUNAGCGGAAUAUGUCAUGUAGCGGUGAAAUGCUUAGAUAUGACAUAGAACACCCAUUGCGAAGGCAGCUNNCUACNCANAUAUUGACGCUGAGGCACGAAAGCGUGGGGAUCAAACAGGAUUAGAUACCCUGGUAGUCCACGCCCUAAACGAUGGAUACUCGACAUACGCGAUACACUGUGNGUGUCU